GAUGAACGCUGGCUACAGGCUUAACACAUGCAAGUCGAGGGGAAACGACGGGGAAGCUUGCUUCCCCGGGCGUCGACCGGCGCACGGGUGAGUAACGCGUAUCCAACCUGCCUCUGACUGAGGGAUAACCCGUCGAAAGUCGGCCUAAUACCCCAUGGCAUCGUCUGUGGGCAUCCAACGACGAUUAAAGAUUUCAUCGGUCAGAGAUGGGGAUGCGUCUGAUUAGCUUGUUGGCGGGGUAACGGCCCACCAAGGCGACGAUCAGUAGGGGUUCUGAGAGGAAGGUCCACCACAUUUGAACUGAGACACGGUCCAAACUCCUACGGGAGGCAGCAGUGAGGAAUAUUGGUCAAUGGGCGAGAGCCUGAACCAGCCAAGUAGCGUGCAGGAUGACGGCCCUAUGGGUUGUAAACUGCUUUUAUGCGGGGAUAAAGUGAGGGACGUGUCCUUCAUUGCAGGUACCGCAUGAAUAAGGACCGGCUAAUUCCGUG
rnacentral:rRNA from 1 species